AUCUAGAUCCGCUUUCUGAAGCAAUGAUGUGUCCCCCCCCUUUCCUCCUUAGGGAUGCUGGGAGUUAGAGGCACUAUGGCAAGUGAGCCAACGCCAACCAUCUAUGACAUCACCCAGCUUGACAACAGCUGCAUGGAAUUCUGGGAGUAUCCUGGGCCCCAAGAUCCCAUGGAACGAAGGAAGAUGCUGCCAUGAACCCUGGGCUCUUUUUAGCCCACCCUGCCAGGCCAGAGACCGGAGACCAUGGCUAAGGUGCGAGACAGAGACCAGCUUAGCGAGAGAGAGACGGACAGCCUCGGUUCAGACUCGGUGUCCUUAAGGGAUGAGGAUUCCAGCAUCUUCAAUCUGGACCAAGAAGAGGAGGAGGAACAG